rnacentral:rRNA from 1 species
AUUGAACGCUGGCGGCAUGCCUUACACAUGCAAGUCGAACGGUAACAGGUUAAGCUGACGAGUGGCGAACGGGUGAGUAAUGUAUCGGAACGUGCCCAGUCGUGGGGGAUAACUGCUCGAAAGAGCAGCUAAUACCGCAUACGACCUGAGGGCGAAAGCGGGGGAUCGCAAGACCUCGCGCGAUUGGAGCGGCCGAUAUCCGAUUAGGUAGUUGGUGAGGUAAAGGCUCACCAAGCCGACGAUCUGUAGCUGGUCUGAGAGGACGACCAGCCACACUGGGACUGAGACACGGCCCAGACUCCUACGGGAGGCAGCAGUGGGGAAUUUUGGACAAUGGGCGCAAGCCUGAUCCAGCCAUGCCGCGUGCGGGAAGAAGGCCUUCGGGUUGUAAACCGCUUUUGUCAGGGAAGAAAAGGUUCUGGCUAAUACCUGGGACUCAUGACGGUACCUGAAGAAUAAGCACCGGCUAACUACGUG